AUUGAACGCUGGCGGCAGGCUUAACACAUGCAAGUCGAGCGGAGAUGAGGUGCUUGCACCUUAUCUUAGCGGCGGACGGGUGAGUAAUGCUUAGGAAUCUGCCUAUUAGUGGGGGACAACAUUCCGAAAGGAAUGCUAAUACCGCAUACGCCCUACGGGGGAAAGCAGGGGAUCUUCGGACCUUGCGCUAAAUGAUGAGCCUAAGUCGGAUUAGCUAGUUGGUGGGGUAAAGGCCUACCAAGGCGACGAUCUGUAGCGGGUCUGAGAGGAUGAUCCGCCACACUGGGACUGAGACACGGCCCAGACUCCUACGGGAGGCAGCAGUGGGGAAUAUUGGACAAUGGGCGGAAGCCUGAUCCAGCCAUGCCGCGUGUGUGAAGAAGGCCUUUUGGUUGUAAAGCACUUUAAGCGAGGAGGAGGCUCUCCUAGUUAAUACCUAGGAAGAGUGGACGUUACUCGCAGAAUAAGCACCGGCUAACUCUGUGCCAGCCGCCGCGGUAAUAC
rnacentral:rRNA from 1 species